rnacentral:misc_RNA from 1 species
UCUCCGUAGUUGAACCUGCGGAGGGAUCAUUACUGAGUGAGGGCUUCGGUCCGACCUCCAACCCUUUGUGAACCAGACUUGUUGCUUCGGGGGCGACCCUGCCGCUUCGACGGCGAGCGCCCCCGGAGGCCUUCAAACACUGCAUCUUUGCGUCGGAGUUUAAGUAAAUUAAACAAAACUUUCGACAACGGAUCUCGUGGUUCUGGCAUCGAUGAAGAACGCAGC